AUAAAGGCAGGCUAUUUACACAAACACUCUGGAUUCCUCAAACCAGAGAAUGUCUGCUCAAAACAAAAUAUUGUGUUUGAACACGUGUUACAUGUAGGCUAACAGUGUAAGGGAUUUAAGUGUCGACUAAUAUGUGAAAGGUAGAUGUAGUUGGAUUGUUUUAAUAUGGAAUAAUCGAGUGACCAUGGAGACCUCAAGCACUCAGCAGCAACGCGACGAAGACGUCGUCAGAAGGAGAUAUUGUAAGAGAAGUAUACAGAAAAUGAAACUCAAAAAAAGAGACUCGGGAUACAGGGAAAAUGACAGCAGUCAAAAACCCGAAUCCGAAGAAAUUCCUCCAGUGCCACAACAACUACUCAACUUAAUCAGAAUGAAGGCUUUCAGAGAAAAGUUGAAGACGGCUCCAGAAAUGGAGUUACAUGAUCCUCAGCACUGCAGGUCAUGCCAGGUCAAACAGGCUGAGCUGGCACGAGAUGACUUCAUAAGGAGGAAGACGACACAGCUCCUGUCUCCCCUUCUGGAAGAAAAAAUCCAAUCCCACUUCCUUAAUAGAAACUCCAUUUGUCUGAUAGGAGAGGUAUUGAGAGACCUGCCUAGGCCGUCAGAUGACCCUGGCCUUGUCUGGAAGGCUCUGAAGGCCAGGGAAGUGGAACUGACCCAGCAGACAGACUCGAGCUGAUCCUGCCUUUUCCCAUGUUCAGUGGAAUCAAGCCUGUGACUUUGAUAUCGACAUGGACCUUGAAGAAAAAUCAACCCUAGCCUGACUCCAGGCCUCCCACAAGUGGUGCUUCACCAGGAAAAAGCCUGAACACCUGCAGGAGAGCUGACACAGACGGGACCUUGAGCGGGAAGGGGAAAAAAAGGCGACUCCUCUCUCAGAGGAUGAGGGGGGGGAAAGUGGAGUGUUUGUGAGUUUGCCAACCUUCAU